ACGAAUAUGGCCAAACCCCUCAUCUCUCCAAUCCUCUCCUCCAAGCAUUGAUCGCGAAAUGAGCCGGUCGUUGGUGGGCGGUGGAGGCCACGCGCCGCUUUUCACAGUGUCGCAGUGGGCGGAGAUGGAGCAUCAAGCCAUGGUUUUCAAGUACCUCAAGGCCGGUCUGCCUGUUCCUCCCGAGCUCUUGGCCCCUAUUCGCAGCAGCUUCAAUCUCAUGUACCCCGAUUUCCUUCGUCACCCCUCUUUGACUUAUGCUUCCUUCUGCGGGAAGAAAAUAGACCCAGAGCCAGGGCGGUGCCGCAGGACAGAUGGCAAGAAGUGGAGGUGCUCUAAGGAUGCGCAUCCAGACUCCAAGUAUUGUGAGCGCCACAUGAAUCGUGGUCGCUACCGUUCAAGAAAGCUUGUGGAAUCACAAACUGCCUCUCAAACUUUGUCAACUGUGGCAUCCUCAGAGAUAAGGACUGGGAGCCAUAGCCACAGUGGGAGCUUCCAAAACAUGCCUUUGCACUCGGCGGGAAACAGUGGAAGUCUAUGCUUUGGAAGUGAUGUGUCUCAGUUGAAGAUGGAGCCUAUACCCUAUGGGAUAGUGAAGCGUGGAAACAGGGUCCUCGAUGGAGCAGAGGAACAUAAUUUUAUGUCAGAAGCUUCAGGGAGUGCAAGAUCUGUUGGGGUGGAUAGUACUGUAGACAGUCCAUGGCGUCUUAUGACAUCUCGAGUUCCCUCGAACUCCUCAUCUGAACCUAGAGAUGGUUGUUUUUUACUAAAUAACAACUCCCAGCUGCAGACAUUACAAGAUAGUGAAGCUUUGACUGUAGAUGCUGCUAUGACCAAACAACAGCAACGGCAAUAUGUUGGUGGAGAGUUUGGCGUACUGAGAUCAGUAAAACAGGAACAACAUUCUCUUCAGCCUUUCUUUGAUGAGUGGCCUAAAUCAAGAGAUCUGGGGUUUCAUCACAAUGAUCCUCGGUCAACCAAUAACGUAUCAAACACAACUCAGCUGUCAAUGUCUAACCUGAUGGCUCCCUCUAAUUUCUUCAAGGAGCGCUGAAUCACCCAGUGAUGCAUAUGCUUGAACCUGUGAGCUGA